AGUUUGAUCAUGGCUCAGGAUGAACGCUGGCGGCGUGCUUAACACAUGCAAGUCGAACGAACCUUCGGGUUAGUGGCGGACGGGUGAGUAACGCGUGAGAAUCUGCCCUCAGGAGGGGGAUAACGGUUGGAAACGACCGCUAAUACCCCAUAUGCCUAUUGGUGAAAUGAAUUUCGCCUGAGGAUGAGCUCGCGUCUGAUUAGCUAGUUGGUGAGGUAAUGGCUCACCAAGGCUUCGAUCAGUAGCUGGUCUGAGAGGAUGAUCAGCCACACUGGGACUGAGACACGGCCCAGACUCCUACGGGAGGCAGCAGUGGGGAAUUUUCCGCAAUGGGCGAAAGCCUGACGGAGCAACGCCGCGUGAGGGACGAAGGCCUCUGGGCUGUAAACCUCUUUUCUCAAGGAAGAAGAUAUGACGGUACUUGAGGAAUAAGCCACGGCUAAUUCCGUGCCAGCAGCCGCGGUAAUACGGGAGUGGCAAGCGUUAUCCGGAAUUAUUGGGCGUAAAGCGUCCGCAGGCGGCUUUUCAAGUCUGCUGUUAAAGCGUGGAGCUUAACUCCAUCAUGGCAGUGGAAACUGAAAGGCUUGAGUAUGGUAGGGGCAGAGGGAAUUCCCGGUGUAGCGGUGAAAUGCGUAGAUAUCGGGAAGAACACCAGUGGCGAAGGCGCUCUGCUGGGCCAUUACUGACGCUCAUGGACGAAAGCCAGGGGAGCGAAAGGGAUUAGAUACCCCUGUAGUCCUGGCCGUAAACGAUGAACACUAGGUGUCGGGGGAAUCGACCCCUUCGGUGUCGUAGCUAACGCGUUAAGUGUUCCGCCUGGGGAGUACGCACGCAAGUGUGAAACUCAAAGGAAUUGACAGGGGCCCGCACAAGCGGUGGAGUAUGUGGUUUAAUUCGAUGCAACGCGAAGAACCUUACCAGGGUUUGACAUCCUGCGAACCUCUUAGAAAUUUGAGGGUGCCUUCGGGAAUGCAGUGACAGGUGGUGCAUGGCUGUCGUCAGCUCGUGUCGUGAGAUGUUGGGUUAAGUCCCGCAACGAGCGCAACCCACGUUUUUAGUUGCCAGCAUUUAGUUGGGCACUCUAGAAAGACCGCCGGUGAUAAACCGGAGGAAGGUGUGGAUGACGUCAAGUCAUCAUGCCCCUUACACCCUGGGCUACACACGUACUACAAUGCUACGGACAAAGGGCAGCAAACUCGCGAGAGCUAGCAAAUCCCAUAAACCGUGGCUCAGUUCAGAUCGUAGGCUGCAACUCGCCUACGUGAAGUAGGAAUCGCUAGUAAUCGCAGGUCAGCAUACUGCGGUGAAUACGUUCCCGGGCCUUGUACACACCGCCCGUCACACCAUGGAAGUUGGCCAUGCCCGAAGUCGUUACUCCAACCCUUGUGGAGGAGGACGCCGAAGGUGGGGCUAAUGACUGGGGUGAAGUCAUAACAAGGUAACCGUA
rnacentral:rRNA from 1 species